rnacentral:hammerhead_ribozyme from 1 species
AUCCAGCUGACUCGUCCCAAAUAAGACAAAACGCACUUCCUGGAU